GUCAGACUAAUCACCCAUUUCUGUGGAUCAGGUGUGAUGAAGCUGCAGGCCUGCAGUUUCUGACCCUCCAAGGAGAUUUUGGGUUCAGUUUUGGACUCUCAACACACCAAGUCAUGACAGCCAAGUUUCUUUCUGAGAAAUGCAUAAUGGCACAGUGAUGUCAUUUCCAGGCCUGAAGGACCAGAAUCCUCCAUGUUUUCGAUGCAUCCAUACUCCAACGCCGCUGAUUCAAAGGAACUCAGUGUGUCAUCAAGUUCUGCUGCGUCCUGUUGUUUUUCACACAACUCCACUCUGAACAGUCAACAGCACUGGAGUUCUGCACCACUGGUGCAGGGGUAUUUCAAUGGGUAACCUUUUGCAUCUUUUGUUGUGAAGUCUCAGUGAAAGAAUGGAGUACAUGGCCCAGAUGUCAUGCCCUCUGCAGCAAAACACAACAAUGGAAGGUGGAAGUGGACAAGGCCAACAAGCCGUGGAAAUACCGCACUAUAAAUACAUUAGGGGUGCUGAAUCUGAGGCUGGUGUUGACUGAUUCUGGAUUGAAAGCUCUGCAGAAGAAUGUAAGCAGAGUGAGAAACAUCUUUAUUGUUGAAAAGUUUGUUGUGUUAUAAGAAAACAAAAAAAAAAAGAAAGCCCUGCAUGACAAGCUGGUUUAACUCCAACAUUUCCAAGGUUGAGGAGUAAUUCUUGAUGCAGCAAAGAUCAGUGUGCUGUUAUGUUUUGUUGUUGAAGAGGAGUCUAACGGAUCCAGAGAAGAGGAUGGGAGUCAUAUGUUGAAGGAUGUUUCUAAAGGCAAAACUAAAAAGCAAACAAAGAAGAAAAAACAGAGAGCAUACUUGAAAGUAAUACAAUAUGUUCAACAGAAAUCUGGCAUGGCUUUGGAAGGAUUUGCCAGGAAACAGAAUGAACAAGCAGUGCUUAAAUGUUGGAAAGAUGAACACUGGAAAUGGAAAUGAUGGAAAUUUGUAACGGCCAGCAUCGACAGAAGUAGUAAAGUGGUUUAAAAAAAAAAAAUAGAUAAUAGAAAACACUAAGGCAGCAGAAAAGUCCCCAAGUGAGAAAAUGCACUGGAAAUAAAAAACAAACCCAUAUGAAAAGAAAGCUGUUUCCUUGAUUAACUCGUCUGUAUGGCUAUCAGUUCUCAUUAGCUCUAAAGCAUAAUUAACUCAUUCUUUUUAUCUUUGGCACUCAAAUUGGUGAAACUAUUAUCAUCGUUACCUUGGUGCAUGAAAUUCCUGAGUUCAAAUUCUGGUCAGGAUACUUUCUGCUCAUGGGUUCUCUUGAGUCUUUUCCCAGUCCAAAAAAAAAAAACAUGAAAGUGA